rnacentral:tRNA from 1 species
ACUCUUUUAGUAUAAUCAGUACAGUUGACUUCCAAUCAACUAGCUUCAGCCCUCACCUGAAAAAGAGUA